rnacentral:sRNA from 1 species
ACAUUACAUUUUACACAAUUUGAAUUUUAAUGUUGUUUUUAGUGUAAAUAAACUAGAAAUUCAAGGACUGUUUCAAAAGUGUUUGCAUGUUGUCAUCAAUUAAUUAUUUUAUAUAUAUGUUUAUUAGACUUAAUUAAAAACUAUUAAUAUUUGUGAUAAUAUUUGUUUUAUUCAGGCAUUUUGUUUUGUUUUUGUUUAAAUAAAUUUAAAAUUAAUAUGCUUUAUCAAUUAAUUUCUAAAUAAAAGAACACAUUCUCAUUUCAUAUCGUUUUCAGGACGGACUUGAUAAAGGACAAAUAAUUCAGCUGCAUUAUUUUGAGUGCUGAAAAAAUGUGUGUGAUUGUAGACAGAUAAUUGUGUUUUUAUGUUCCUCUAAAUCAUCCUAUAAUCGAGUUUUAAUUUGGAUGUUUUAAAUCAAUAAAAUUUAUCGAAUCGUCGCUUUAAAAGCCUAGAUAGAGAUAAAUCCGCAUCGUAGUAAAGAUAAGAAUAUGUUAUAUAAGUCUGCAGGAUUUAUAGAUUGUGGUAAAUCUUAACUAUGUUAAAAGCUGAUGCUGAUUCUUCUACAAUUUACCUAUUGUCCUCGAAUAGUAUGUUUAUAAAUCUGAGGCUCUAUCAAAAAUUGAGUUCAUAUUGAGCCACAUAUGAAGUUUGGUUGAAGUCGGUAACUGAAGCCCUUUCAAAAAUUUUUUAAGAUUAAAAGAUUAUUUCGACAUUGUAAACCUAAGAUAAAUUUUUAUUAUAGAUUAAAUAAAGAA